rnacentral:misc_RNA from 1 species
UCUCCGUUGGUGAACCAGCGGAGGGAUCAUUACCGAGUUUACAACUCCCAAACCCAAUAUGAACCAUACCAAACUGUUGCCUCGGCGGGGUCACGCCCCGGGUGCGUCGCAGCCCCGGAACCAGGCGCCCGCCGGAGGGACCAACCAAACUCUUUCUGUAGUCCCCUCGCGGACGUUAUUUUUACAGCUCUGAGCAAAAAUUCAAAAUGAAUCAAAACUUUCAACAACGGAUCUCUUGGUUCUG